UUCUUAAUCGUAUAUAGUAAAUUGAAUUUCUAAAAUAUUUCAUAGAUAGUUUUUUGAUUUUUAACAUUUUUUUUGACUUCUCUAUCUAAAUAACAUGUAAAAUUGUUAUUAAUUGUAUAACAUCCGGAAGAAAAUGGAACGAUUGAGAAGAAUCUUUAAAUAUUCUUAUAUUU